UAGUGGCGAACGGGUGAGUAAUGUAUCGGAUCGUAUCCAAUAUUGGGGGAUAACUAAUCGAAAGGUUGGCUAAUACCGCAUACGCCCUACGGGGGAAAGCAGGGGAUCUUCGGACCUUGCGUUAAUGGAGCGGCCGAUAUCUGAUUAGCUAGUUGGUGAGGUAAAAGCUCACCAAGGCGACGAUCAGUAGCUGGUCUGAGAGGACGACCAGCCACACUGGAACUGAGACACGGUCCAGACUCCUACGGGAGGCAGCAGUGGGGAAUUUUGGACAAUGGGCGAAAGCCUGAUCCAGCCAUUCCGCGUGAGUGAAGAAGGCCUUCGGGUUGUAAAGCUCUUUCGCAAGGGAAGAAACGAUGCAGUCGAAUAAACUGUGUUAAUGACGGUACCUUGAUAAGAAGCACCGGCUAACUACGUGCCAGCAGCCGCGGUAAUACGUAGGGUGCGAGCGUUAAUCGGAAUUACUGGGCGUAAAGCGUGCGCAGGCGGUUUUUUAAGUCAGAUGUGAAAUCCCCGGGCUCAACCUGGGAACUGCAUUUGAAACUGGAAGACUAGAGUAUAGCAGAGGGGGGUAGAAUUCCACGUGUAGCAGUGAAAUGCGUAGAUAUGUGGAGGAAUACCAAUGGCGAAGGCAGCCCCCUGGGUUAAUACUGACGCUCAUGCACGAAAGCGUGGGGAGCAAACAGGAUUAGAUACCCUGGUAGUCCACGCCCUAAACGAUGUCAACUAAGUGUUGGGGGAGGAGACUUCCUUAGUACCGUAGCUAACGCGUGAAGUUGACCGCCUGGGGAGUACGGUCGCAAGAUUAAAACUCAAAGGAAUUGACGGGGAACCCGCACAAGCCGUGGGAUUAUGUGGAAUUAAUUCCGAUGCAACGGCGAAAAACCAUUACCUACCCCUUGACUUGUCAGAAAGGAUCGCAGAAGAUGUGGAUUGGGGUCGAAAAGAAGAUCCUGGACACCAGGUGGCUGCAUGGGCUGGCCGUCAGCUCCUAGUCCUGGAGAUGUUGGG
rnacentral:rRNA from 1 species